rnacentral:rRNA from 1 species
CACGUAGGCACCAAGCGUUGUCCGGAUUUAUUGGGCGUAAAGAGCUCGUAGGCGGUUCGGUAAGUCGGGUGUGAAAACUUUGGGCUCAACCCAAAGCCUGCACCCGAUACUGCUGUGACUUGAGUCCGGUAGGGGAGUGGGGAAUUCCUGGUGUAGCGGUGGAAUGCGCAGAUAUCAGGAGGAACACCGGUGGCGAAGGCGCCACUCUGGGCCGGUACUGACGCUGAGGAGCGAAAGCGUGGGGAGCGAACAGG